GAGGCAGCCAUAUCGCAGAUCGACUUCAUUUCGACGCAACCACUAGAGAGACUGUCUCGGUCUCCAUUCCUUUGCCUAGCUAAUGGGGAUGGCACUUGCUCCACGCUCGUCUCUGUCUCUGCGCUCCCUGCUGCUGCUCAUGUCGCACAGGAAGCCACAUCAGAGCUCUUUCUUCUCCUCCGCCGCGGUUCCGCCUGCGGCUCCAGGAACUGGCACUCCGGCUGCUCCUGCCGUUCAGCCUCCAGCCGCUCCAGAUCCUGAUCUUGCAGUUCCUGAAGGUCCGCGCGGAUCUAGCCGUGAUGGUCCGCCACGCCAACCUCCUGGAACUAUGGAUAUAGAUGCUAAAGACCCAGGCAAGAAGACUCUCUAACAGCUAAUAAUACAAAUUCAGUGGGAGCCUUUCCCACUGUCCUCAAGGUUCAAAAAAAAAAAAAAAAAGAGUCACCGGCAAGUCAUCAGAUUUCGCCUACGGCACUUCAACGUGUACUCCUUGAUGCAGCCACCCACCGUACGAACUGCAGAAGUCCUCCUCUCCCGGAAUAAUACUGAAUUGCCAACUGUUGGGGCGCUACGAGCAAAUGCUUGCUUGCUGCGGUUACUGCCGUGUUACCUCUGUGGACAUGUAAUCUCAGUGCUGUCAUAUUAUUGAUCUUUGUACCGUUCCAAUCUACUUCAACAAAUAAAGGUGUGCGUUAGAUUCUA